rfam:Pelecanus crispus contig46563, whole genome shotgun sequence.
GCCGGGUUAGCUCAGUUGGUUAGAGUGUGGUGCUAAUAACCCCAGGGUCACGGAUUCAAUCCCCGCUCACUGCA